AAAGCUUGCUUUUGAUGGGCGUCGACCGGCGCACGGGUGAGUAACGCGUAUGCAACCUGCCCUUCACAGGGGGAUAACAGUUGGAAACGACUGCUAAUACCGCAUAAGCGCACGGUAUCGCAUGAUACAGUGUGAAAAACUCCGGUGGUAUGAGAUGGACCCGCGUCUGAUUAGCCAGUUGGCAGGGUAACGGCCUACCAAAGCGACGAUCAGUAGCCGACCUGAGAGGGUGACCGGCCACAUUGGGACUGAGAUACGGUCCAAACUCC
rnacentral:rRNA from 1 species